GAUGAACGCUGGCGGCGUGCCUAAUACAUGCAAGUCGAACGCACAGCGAAAGGUGCCUGCACCUUUCAAGUGAGUGGCGAACGGGUGAGUAACACGUGGACAACCUGCCUCAAGGCUGGGGAUAACAUUUGGAAACAGAUGCUAAUACCGAAUGAAACUUAGUGUCGCAUGAUACGAAGUUAAAAGGCGCUUUGGCGUCACCUAGAGAUGGAUCCGCGGUGCAUUAGUUAGUUGGUGGGGUAGAGGCCUACCAAGACAAUGAUGCAUAGCCGAGUGGAGCGACUGAUCGGCCACAUUGGGACUGAGACACGGCCCAAACUCCUACGGGAGGCUGCAGUAGGGAAUCUUCCAAAAUGGGCGAAAGCCUGAUGGAGCAACGCCGCGUGUGUGAUGAAGGCUUUCGGGUCGUAAAGCACUGUUGUAUGGGAAGAACAGCUAGAAUAGGGAAUGAUUUUAGUUUGACGGUACCAUACCAGAAAGGGACGGCUAAAUACGUGCCAGCAGCCGCCGUAA
rnacentral:rRNA from 1 species